rnacentral:rRNA from 1 species
AGUGAACGCUGGCGGCAUGCCUUACACAUGCAAGUCGAACGGCAGCAUGACCUAGCUUGCUAGGUUGAUGGCGAGUGGCGAACGGGUGAGUAAUGCAUCGGAACGUGCCUUUUAGUGGGGGAUAACGUAGCGAAAGUUACGCUAAUACCGCAUAUUCUCUGAGGAGGAAAGCAGGGGGCCUUCGGGCCUUGCGCUAGAAGAGCGGCCGAUGUCGGAUUAGCUAGUUGGUGAGGUAAAGGCUCACCAAGGCAACGAUCCGUAGCGGGUCUGAGAGGAUGAUCCGCCACACUGGGACUGAGACACGGCCCAGACUCCUACGGGAGGCAGCAGUGGGGAAUUUUGGACAAUGGGCGCAAGCCUGAUCCAGCCAUGCCGCGUGAGUGAAGAAGGCCUUCGGGUUGUAAAGCUCUUUCGGCUGGGAAGAAAUCGCACUCUCUAAUACAGGGUGUGGAUGACGGUACCAGCAUAAGAAGCACCGGCUAACUACGUG